GGGUAACCUGCCCAAGAGAUCGGGAUAACACCUGGAAACAGAUGCUAAUACCGGAUAACAACAGAUGAUGCCUAUCAACUGUUUAAAAGAUGGUUCUGCUAUCACUCUUGGAUGGACCUGCGGUGCAUUAGCUAGUUGGUAGGGUAACGGCCUACCAAGGCGAUGAUGUAUAGCCGAGUUGAGAGACUGAUCGGCCACAUUGGGACUGAGACACGGCCCAAACUCCUACGGGAGGCAGCAGAA
rnacentral:rRNA from 1 species